GGAGAGGGAUGCCUUAACCCUAAUUGCAGAAUAUUUGAAGGUAAGUGAAUGACGAUUCACUAAUUUCCACCACGAAAAACGAAAAAGAAAUUUAUGUUUUAAAUCUAUGAAAACUCCUAGAUCCUUUGAGAUUCAUUGAACUUUCAAUGGCAUGUUUAAAUCUCGAUAUGCCCCUCUUGUUUGUGACUGGGAUGCCGAGGAUCACAAAGCGGGUGUGAAUAACCAUGCAAACUUACAUGGUGCCCUCACAUGUUACAGUCACCUAUUCGAUGUGCCGGUAAACCACACACGCUCCACCGAACUAUGACAAACAUUGAGUCACCCUUUGCUACCUUUGCUUAGAACCAUUUAGUGUGCCGGUAAACCACACACGCUCCACUAACGUCUUCGCAAGGGCACAAAGUGUAAUUUCAUGGAAUUGCAUCAAUUCACUUUUGCCUAAGUAACUAAGAUUGGGAAUUUUAUGAAAACAUUUAGUUACUUUAAUAAUUCAUUAUACUUAUAAUGGAAGGUUUCGUCCUAUCCUACCCGUUCGGCUAACGACCCUCCACUAGUCAAGAGUGCGGUGGGUAAGAGUGGAUACCCAUUCAAUCGCCAUUUUAUAGGCAAUUUCCUUAAACACCCCUUAUAGACCAGCUUCGUGAAUGAGGCCUACUAACGGUAAGACUGACUUUUACUCAUACAUAUAUAUAAUGUUAGACUUUUAAUGUUAUAUAUAUAGUAUAGGGUGUAUUUUAUACUUUUAAAAUACUAGGUGGUCUAAUUUAACAAUUAUACUUUUAAUUCAAUUAAAUUGUAAACCUAAACUUUUAUGGAUUUAUUAAACCUCUUUUAAUUAUACACCUUAAUUAAUUAAUAAAACCAUAAGGGUGUGAUUUGAACCUUUUCAAAACAAUGCUAGGGUUUUAGAAUUUAACAUUCCUAAUUAAACUUUUAAUCAACUUUUAAAUUCCAAAACUUGAGGGCAAGUUUUGAAACAUUUCAAAACAUUAGGGUUUAGAAUUUAAAUAUACAUCAAAAUUAAACAUUUAAUCAAAAUUUAAAUUCCAAAACUUGAGGGCAAGUUUUGAAACCUUUUUCAAAACAUUAGGGUUUUAACUAUUUAAAUUUCAAAACAACAAAACUUUUGGGUUCAAAUUUAAACUAUAAAACCUAAAGGGAUUAAUUUGAAACUAUUACAAAGUUUGUCAAGAAUAUUCUAGAUCACAUAAUUCAAAUAAGGCAAUUAACUAUAAUUGGUGGUUAUCUAAUUAGAUCUAGUUCAAAUUCUUGCAAGAUGAUGAUCAAAUAAUUUCCAUAACUUAACAUAUAUCAAAUAAGGUAACAAUUAUCUAAUUAGAUGACCAAAAUCUUUUAUUUUGACAAGGAUAAUCAUAAGGGAUUAACAAAAUUCGAAUUUUAUUAAGUUUAAACAAUUAUUGCAAUUAUCCUAAGUCAAAAUAGGUAAAAAUCCCGAAAAACCGCCUGUUUGACAGCUAAACUCGUCGAGUCCCAUUAUGGACUCGCCGAGUAGGGGCCUACUCACCAAGUCCACAAUGGGACUCGCUGAGUAGAUCAGGCAGGAGGCAAAAAAACAAUUUUUUUUCAAGCGUGAACAAAUUAACAAGGCAUCAAUACAAUAAAAACCAAUCAAGUCUCCGAUACCACUGAUGGGUUUUGGUCAUAAGAACAUCCUAUGUGCUCACACAAACCCUAAUGCUUGGAUCUAGGUUUCUCUAUUGUACAUGCAAUUCAUCCAAGACUAUAAACCCUAAUUCUAGCAUAUGGAAAUCAAUAUUAACAUAUAAUUAGGUUUAAGAUAUUACCUUGAUUGUUAUGUAGCAAUAACAAUCCCAAUUCCUCCUUGAAUUGACUUUGGAAGGCUUAGAGUCACAAGUGUCACUCCUCUAAUGGUUCACAAACACCAUAAGCAAGAGGAUGAAGAGGAGAGAGGAUGGAGGCUGCCCAAAACGUGUUCUAACCCUAGAAAAGAAGUUCCCCACGUUUUUGAGCCUUAAGGGUUCUAUAUAUAGUGAGGCUAUUAGGGUUAUCUAACAAGGAAACCCUAAUUUGGAUGCUUAAGCCCUAAGCAACCCAUGGACCCCUUUCCUUAAGGCCUUGGAUGAUUUCUUAUGGGUUUCCCCAUAGAAUUCGUCCACUCCUUAAUAUAAGACAAUCCAUAGCCCAAAUUGCAAUUAUCUUAUAAUUACAAUUCCAGUCCCUUAAGUUUAAUUAAUCUCUUUUAGUCACAAAAUUAAUUACCAAUUAAUUAUUGACUAAUAUUAAUUAAACAAUAUGAUUUCUCCUUUAAUAUAUUAUUCCCAUAAUAUAUUAAUAAAUCAUAUUUAAUCAUUUCUCUUCAUAAUUCAUCCUAUCAAGUUGCUUUGGUGAAGGCAACCCAAAAGGACCAUGCACCAUCGGGUCAAGUACAUACCAAAAUAGUUAUGGACUUAGACACUAAUCCAACAUGUUGAUGUUAGGUAUUUUUCCAUGUUUUGAGGCAAAAGCACAUAUAUCUUGUUGUUAUCAAUCUGAAGAAACGUGCUUUUGAGGUUAUUGAUAAUGGUGUAAAUGAUGUUGAUUUUGAUGAUAAGUAUGGUGUAGUUUUUAAACUUCUUAUAAGUUUCAAAUGAUAUUUAUAAUUUAGAUUUGAAAUCAUAUAUGAUAUGUUUUAUAAUUAUUAUACUUAUAUUUUUCUGAUGUCAAAUCAUAUAUGAUUUUAGAAAAAGUAUUUUUAAAGUAUCUAAAAGAGAUCAAUCAUGUUAAAGCAAAUGAAAUGCCUGAUAAAAAUCUUACACCGGUAAGAUUGAUAAUGCCAUGGAUGACAGUUUAUAACAAAGUGGAUUGUGAUAUUUUUGCUAUGAGACAUAUGGAGAGUUAUUUUGGAGAAAAAUGUUCUAAAUGGAAAUGUGGUCUUCCAUAAGAAGGUGCUUCUCAAGAAAAAAAUAUGGAAAAGUUGAGAAUGAAAUAUGCAUCAGUAGUUUUAACUUCUAAAAUUAAUACAAAGCGUGAUGAUGUGUUGAAAGCUGCCUAUGAGUAUCAAAUAUUUGAUCAAAAGAUUUGUGGUAAGCAUGCAUAUGAUGCUCAAUGGAAUAUUGAAAGAAGGUUGUCGGAUUUUUUUUGUUUGAAUAUUUUCUUAUUUUAGAAGUAAAUGGAUGAUGUUAUAAGAACAAGUUUGUUUAUGUUGCGUAUGUUAUGGAUAUUAUUAAGAAUGUAUGUUUAUCCAAAUCGUUCCUAGCUUGUUUAUCCACCUCUUCUUCUUGGAAAGAACACUAAAAAGGCCACAAUGCACUCUUUAAAUCUCAAAAAUGGUCUCACAAGAUUCUCUAGAGUGUAAGAACUUUCUAAGGCAGUGGAGGCUCUCUAGGGUUAAGUCCAAUGGACUUAAUGUUGCUUAAAUAGGUCUCAUGUCCGAAAAUUAGGGUUUUGGACCCCUGGCAUGUACGCUCGACGUACAUGUUGGUACACCUAGUGUAUGCCCAGCUCCUCCACGUCCAUCCAUACAUAGUACACUAAGCGUACACUUAAGUACGCCCAACGUACUUAAAGGACCAAUUUUGGAAAAAUGCAAAUUUCUUGAGGGUUUCAAGACAUACCAGAUUUAGGGUGUUACAUAAAUGAUUGCAUGUAUUGAAUAAACAGUUAAUAGAUUACAUAAUUAUUUUUAUUAGUAUAAUCAUAAAUGAUUAUGUAAUACCACUUUAUAUGUUUUAUUUAAUCACAAGUGAUUAUAUACUUUUGUAAUCAUAAAAGACAUUAAGUUAGAUAGAAGAAGGUUUAAGAUAGAAAAAACUCAAGAAAACUGAUUUUUCGUACUACUAAUAAAAUCAAAGAAAGAAUUAUCAAAGUAAAUUCUAUUUUAUAAAAAGAGUAAAGUGCAUCAAACAAAAAGUAUAUUAUUUAGAAAAAAAGUCAUGAAUUAUUCAUUACUAAUUAAACUAGUAAUUAUCUAUGUAGCUUUUGAUGAUUGUUCUGCUGCAAGUUUUAUUGGGCAAGUAUGCAAGUUAUGAGUAGCCCUUUCUCCACAUCCUGAGCAUCUUCUUGUCUGCUAGUUUGAAUUUUUAUAUUCUAUUUCUGCUGCACUUUGAAUUGUAUUUUUCUUUCCACUUCCUUUAUUGCUUUGAACAUUUAUAACAUUGAUGUCAAUGUCUUUUGGAAUAGAAAUUCCAAUAAGCUUUCCUACCUCUUCAACAUAUGUCCUAUUUUUUUUGCAAUUCAAUAGUAGGAUCAUUCUCGUAUUCCUUCAACAUGCUUUCUGUUUUCUUAACAAACAAAUCCAUUUUGUCUUUAUUUUUUCUUACGUAAUCCAAACAUGCUUCAAAGUUGUAGUAUGCUUGAUUGAUAGAUCUAUUAAUUUCACUGUCUCCUGUAUCAUAUACAUGCCUACCAAGGUGAUAAUGCCUUGAUAUCACGUCCUUUCCCCAACAAUUCUUAAUGUACUGUUCAGGGAUUUGCUUAAUUCCAUGUUUCAAGAGUAGGUUGAAUGCAUGUCUGCACAAAGUGCCAAAGCGGUUAAAGUGUUCACAAGUACGUUUUACAUCAUUUAUUAGAAGUUGUAUUUCUACUUGUUUAAAAUAAAAUUAAAGCGUUAAGUGUUUUAUAAUCAUAACUGAAAUUUUUUGUAUAUUAUGUUUUGAUUCAUCAAAAUUUAAAAUAAGAAUAUAUUACCUCAAAUUCUAUUUUUAGAUCACUGUUUUUGUUCAGUUGUUCCAAUUUGUAUAACUCCCAUCUGUUUUUUGUUCCAACAUGCUUGUAUUGGCAGUACCAGAAACCUUUGUAGAUUUAUUUAUGUACUUAUAAAAGCUUUUGCAACAUGUUUUUUUGUUGGUUGCGGUGAAAUAAUUUUAUAUACUGCCUUCUUUGUUUGAUGAUCAAGCUCAUUUUGUGCGUUUGUUUGUUUUUGAAUUGUUAUGUCAUAGUUCAUCAUGAAAUGUAAAAGUAAAUUUCCAGAUUGCGACUAAGUGUUGAAGAAGGAAUUCAUGCUUUCUGAUCUUGAAGUGGUUUUCAUUAAUCCAGACAUUCGAGUAUCACUGAAGUAUGCAGGUAUCCAUUUUUCACAUAAUUCAAACAUAUCAUUGAACCAUCUUUUAUCUUCCAGGUUGAAUUCAUUAAUAAUCAACUCCCACUUCUUCUCAAAUUCAUCAGGUUUGAUAUGCAUGUUCCAUACAAGCUUGUUCAAUCUCUUGUUGAAGUUUUUGUUUUUUAAUAAAUCGCAGUAACCUAUGAAUGAACAAUUUUGUUUAUGUAAGUAUAAAUUGUAUACUUAUUUGGAUAUACCAUAUAUGUGUAAUCAUAUAUGAUUAUAUACAAUAAUGUAGGAUUAAUCAUAUAUGUGUAAUCAUAUAUGAUUAAACAUUUUCAAAUAUAAUCUUUGUUGUAUACCCAGUAAUUAUGUAAUUAUGUUGUUCGAAUUUGGUUUCCUCUUGAUAGAACUUGUAGCCAAUGUAUCACAAGGUUUUGGUUUAUCCUUGCCACCCCUAUUGCAUAUAACAUAUUUUUUUAUUAUUUGGCUAUUGUAUUUUGAUAGGCUACAAAGUAUUGUAUGAAAACAUGCCAUUUCUGCAUAAUCAGUAUAUAUUUUUACUGCCAAAUUUAGUGAUUUGAAAACGUUGCUUACAUCUGGUGCAAAUUCUGUAGGGACAUCUGGUUUAUAUUUAGAUUCUUCGAUUAUGUUAUUGCAAUAGGAUUCAAUUGUUGAAUUGGAACUUUCACCUGAUAAAAGAAGGGAAUGACAAAAAUCUUAUUAUAUAAUUUCAUGAUGUAAUAAUCAUAUGUGAUUAAAGAUAUGUAUUUAUAUAGUGUAAUAUAUUAUUAAUUAUAUUUUAGUAUGAAAAAUCAUAUAUGAUUAUAGAUAUUAAUAUAUUAUUAGAUGUUAAAUCAUAUGUGUUUGUACAUUAUCUUAUAUGAUUAAUCACAUAUUAUACUCUAUAAUUAUAUAUGAUUAUAUUAUUUAAUAUAUAAUUAAUCAUAUAUUUCGAUCUAUAAAAACAUAUGAUAAAUGAUAUAUUUUUGUAAAUUGUUAUAUAGGAUUAAUCAAAUGUGAUUAUGUAUAAUCGUAUAUGAUUAUACACCGUAACUUAUAAUUAAUCAUAAUUUAUACUAUAUAAUAAAAAAAGUUAGAAUGAAAUGUAGAAAUUGUAAUGUAAUAUGUAGUAUUAAAACCAAUUAUGUGUACCUUCAGUACGAGUCGCAUUUUGAAGUUCUUCGGAAGUCAAAGAAAUUGAAUCGAUUUUUUCGUCGUUAUGAUGUGAAUUGAUUUCAGCUAUAAUAAUAUCAGUUGUGAUCGACUCGUCAACUUCGUUUGAAUUCGACAUCAUUUAUGAAAAUUGAUUUUGAUUCAAUUUUCAAAUGAUCUAUUGAUCUCCUGAAUUCCGUUGAUUAAUGCGAUGUGUUUGUUUUUUCGAUUUGAGGAUUAUGUCUCGUAUUUAUAAAGAUAUGAACUGAUGCUCUGUCUCGAUCGUUUUUUUCGAUUUGAAGAUUGCAAUUAAUUUGAUAACAAAUUCAGUAAAUAUAGGAACAUUAUGAUGAUAUUGAAUGAUUUUUCAAGAUUGAAUGAUAUGCUUACGUGAUUGAUACUGAGAAUCGAUGAUUUAGCGAUAAGACGAUUUUUAGAGAAAAAAUGUGUCUGGUUUCUAAAUAUUAAGUUGAAAUUUACUGUUAUACCCUUGCAUCAUUUAACAGUUGACGUAAGUUGAGGUUAAGUUCCAUUGGAUGAUGUUUAAUCUCACAAUCUCUAAUUUUUUAUUAAUCUCAAGGGAACCAUCCCAUAUAUAUAUAUAUAUAUAUAUANNNNNNNNNNNNNNNNNNNNNNNNNNNNNNNNNNNNNNNNNNNNNNNNNNNNNNNNNNNNNNNNNNNNNNNNNNNNNNNNNNNNNNNNNNNNNNNNNNNNNNNNNNNNNNNNNNNNNNNNNNNNNNNNNNNNNNNNNNNNNNNNNNNNNNNNNNNNNNNNNNNNNNNNNNNNNNNNNNNNNNNNNNNNNNNNNNNNNNNNNNNNNNNNNNNNNNNNNNNNNNNNNNNNNNNNNNNNNNNNNNNNNNNNNNNNNNNNNNNNNNNNNNNNNNNNNNNNNNNNNNNNNNNNNNNNNNNNNNNNNNNNNNNNNNNNNNNNNNNNNNNNNNNNNNNNNNNNNNNNNNNNNNNNNNNNNNNNNNNNNNNNNNNNNNNNNNNNNNNNNNNNNNNNNNNNNNNNNNNNNNNNNNNNNNNNNNNNNNNNNNNNNNNNNNNNNNNNNNNNNNNNNNNNNNNNNNNNNNNNNNNNNNNNNNNNNNNNNNNNNNNNNNNNNNNNNNNNNNNNNNNNNNNNNNNNNNNNNNNNNNNNNNNNNNNNNNNNNNNNNNNNNNNNNNNNNNNNNNNNNNNNNNNNNNNNNNNNNNNNNNNNNNNNNNNNNNNNNNNNNNNNNNNNNNNNNNNNNNNNNNNNNNNNNNNNNNNNNNNNNNNNNNNNNNNNNNNNNNNNNNNNNNNNNNNNNNNNNNNNNNNNNNNNNNNNNNNNNNNNNNNNNNNNNNNNNNNNNNNNNNNNNNNNNNNNNNNNNNNNNNNNNNNNNNNNNNNNNNNNNNNNNNNNNNNNNNNNNNNNNNNNNNNNNNNNNNNNNNNNNNNNNNNNNNNNNNNNNNNNNNNNNNNNNNNNNUUAAAUCUUCAUAUUUUAUAUUUUUCUAAAUAUAGAUUUUUAAUAUUAUAUAAGAAUCACCAAAUCCAAACAUACAUUAUAAUAAAACCCAACACGACAAAAACUAAGACUUGUCAUAUUUGAUUUUAGCUUUGAAAGAUCACUACUACUACAGUCUGCAAACAUACUAAAAAAUAGUAAGUUUACACAUAGCUUUUGAUAUAUAUAUAUAUNNNNNNNNNNNNNNNNNNNNNNNNNNNNNNNNNNNNNNNNNNNNNNNNNNNNNNNNNNNNNNNNNNNNNNNNNNNNNNNNNNNNNNNNNNNNNNNNNNNNNNNNNNNNNNNNNNNNNNNNNNNNNNNNNNNNNNNNNNNNNNNNNNNNNNNNNNNNNNNNNNNNNNNNNNNNNNNNNNNNNNNNNNNNNNNNNNNNNNNNNNNNNNNAAGACAACAAAAUAUACAUCAAUAAAAUGCAUAAGGUUUUUUUUUUGUUUUUAAAACUACUAGGGCAUCUCCCAAAGGAAGAUUUAAUAUCCAAACUUGCAUCAGUCUUGCAAUCUUGUUCACCGCCUAAUCGUGAUCCUCAAGUCAUUUGUUAGGCGUGUAAAACCCAACAAAUAAAGGGGUACGAUAUAUUCCAAAAUAAUUUCACUAUAUUGCACCAAAAUGUAGUACAAGGCAAGCAGGGUCGAUCCAUAGAAACACGGGAUAAUUAGUCUAUACCUCUUUGCACAAUGUACUAUAGUCACCAACAGUAAAAAGGGGGUUUAGAGUGCAACGUCNACAAACAAAUUAAAAACACACGCAAUCAGCUAAAUGAGUGAAUUAGAUUCAGAUUUUGUAAGGACUCCAACUUCAUGUAUUACGACUUAGCAAUGUGACUCAAAGAUGACACAAUAUUCGUUCAAUUCUAUCUAAGUUGGUACUCGAAAGUGCUAAUAAGCUCUAACACUUCCCAUUCACUAUAUUAAUUAACCAAAACAAGCUCAUUGAUUAACCCUAACCUUAUUAACCUAAUCUAAACAAUCUCUUAGAAUUAGGUUAUAAGAUUGCAUGAAGCUUUAUGUGAAUGUUCCCAACAACACCCAAUACUCCUCAUAAGCUCGGGAGUGUAAAAGUGUAUGAAUAAGAUUUACACUAAAUUCAUUCAAUAGAGAUCAAUUUAAUGCUUGUUACUUGUUCAAUUUCACAAAACAAUUACGGAUUUUGUAAAAGAGAUAACUUGAAUGACCUAACCCUAAUUCAAAUGGCCAAUAAGAAUCACAAUUAGAAUCAAACAUUCGAUUGAAGCAAAAUCAAAUUCAUUAGAUAGAAAUUAAGAACAAACAUCAUGUCAUAUGAUUGAAGUCACUACCAAGAAGUCAAAACAUGAAAUUGGAGAAACUAGGGUUCUAGCCACACAUGGCUAGAACAAGAUCACAAGAAUAAAAGAUGGAAUUAAAGUGCAAUUACAACUUACAAAUACUAGAAAUAAUGUUUCCAAAUGAUUGCUAAUCAAACCCUUGCAAAAAACCUUUGAAAAUCCUCCUACAAAUGUGCACUGAUAUGUUGUGUGUGUCAAAAAAAUGGCCCUUAACCCAUAAUAUGAAAGAUAGGAAAAACUGUCAAAAGUUGGUUUCUGGGUCGAACACGGCCCGUGUUGAACAUAGAGUAAAUCUAACACAGCCCGUGUUCAGCAUGGUCAACAGCUCCUCUUUUUGGUCAACACGGCCCGUGUUGGUUUUGCAGUGUAAAUCCAACACGACCCGUGUACCCCUCUUACUCCAAAUCCAAACUUGAUUUUUUCAACUUUUUUGUUCUUUGCCCGAUCAUCCCAAAAUCUUCACCAAUGCAUCCCGACACUUCCUAAAGUGCGUUCCAACCUCUGGUUUAACUGAAAAAGACAUGAAAAUGUGCAAAUAAGGUUGUUCUAGAGACUAACAUGAAAAAUGAUGAAAUGCAAGACAAAUGAAGAAUAAUUAUGCUAAAUAGAUGCAUAAAAUGGGACUAAAAGGUGUGCAAAAAGGUGCACAAAAUGCACUUAACAUCAUUCAACCAUGCCAACAACUUCAUGCUCAAAUAAUCGUCAACGAGAUCAACCAUGUCGGUCUUUUGGGUUCAAGAUUACUUGAAAGGUAUAUCCUUUGUUGAAAAAUUCAUUGAUGCAAAGACAAUUUUGGCACCAGAAGGUCUAGGCGGCUUGUUCACUUGUGAGAUAGAGUUUGUAACCAUCAACUUGUUUAAUAGCCCAUGUUUAGAGCUUUAUAAGUCUAUGAGCUCUUAACCGAUUAAGAUGUUUUUGAGCUUAAAUGUCACACCCCUAAACCAGAAUGGCGGAAACAUUCGGGGGUGGAUGACUUCACGUAGUAUCAUAACAAUCGAAUAUUGUAAAGAAAGUAACACAUCCAUCGUAUAUAUAAUAAAAAAGGUACAUUGUUGCGUUAUACAUAUUUCCAACAAAAUAUUACAAUAUGAUGAUAUAAAAUGUUUAAUAAUAAACGCCUUUAGCGUCCCUUCUUCAAAAGCUGGCAGUUACCUGUAUUACUGAUUCCCUGAGAAAUACAAGUGGUUUCGAAAAAGUGUCAACAAUAAAGUUGGUGAGUUAAUAAGUGUUUUGUAUUGAAAAGUGUGUCUUUUUGGUAGAAAAUCGAUGAACGUGGUUUUUAGAAAAUCCAAUAUUUUCUAUAUAUAGUUUGAAAAGUUCCCAAAGUUGGAGUGCGUUAGUAUUUUUCGUACUUGAAUGAUAAAGAUAAACUUUGUGCUCAAAAUAAUGUAAAUACUGAAUGCAUAUAUGAGUCUCGUAAAUCCAUCUUGUUUUUAUACAUUCGUGUGAGUUUUAUAACCAUACUAUUGACUCAGACUGUCUGUAACAACAUUCUUUAGGUGUUGUAGUGUUAUGACAUUUGUCACCCCAGACCUGCCGGUCUAACUGUAGCUAACAAUUUAGGUGCGGGGUUGUCAAUCCCGUAUAGAUCUAUACACAAGUAUCACGCUCUCCCUCCAAGAGAUUAUGGCUUAUAAUACAGGACUUGAAAUGCAUACAUAAGAGUACGUUGAAGUUUGAAUAUCUCACAUUACUUAGUAUAAAUAGAUUUACGAUAAGAAAGUCUUUAUUUCACUUUAGAUAAAAGUAUUUCGUUUUUCAAAAUGUAUACGUAAGAAUGUACAAAUAACUCGCAAACUAUACCCUGUAUAGUUUUUCAGAAAGUAUGUUCCAUUUGGUGAAAAUAACUUGGUGAUAUACUAAAUUUUAUACGUAAAGAUAGUUGUUGCAUUUAAGUUUAUAUAAAACGAUACGUUUUCUUGUAUUGUACUUGUAUUCCCCCNCCCCCCCCCCCAAAACAUGAAAAGACUUGAAAAGUAGGGGUAUGAACUCACCUGUUUGGUUUGGAGACAGAGAGAGAGGGUCUAGAGUCGAGCAGAACUUCAACCGUGGAAAGCUGCGUCUCUGAGCUUCUCGGGGAUCUCGGUGGCGUAGAACCUUCGUCGGGGCUCGGGUGCGGAAAUCGAGGGUGUCGGGACGGCUUCUGUUGCUUGCAAGUGUGUGAGAGUGAGUGUGAGUUUGAGAAUGUGUGCCAAAAAUCCGGAGCUUAUGCCUUCUAUUUAUAGGGCUGGAAAGGCGAGUACGCUGGGCGUACCACCGGAGUACGUUGGGCGUACCACUAGAGUACGCUGGGCGUACUUCGGUUACGCUGGGCGUAUCUUUGCGUCAUGGCUUACGACUCGAGUCUAGCUAGGCGUAGAGCUGCAGCCAAUGGGACUCGACCCUGCACCUGAGUAUGCUGGGCGUACUCCUACAUUACGUUAGGCGUAAUCCUGGCUUCCAUCUUUUAAAUCCCGUAACUUUCGCGUAUGGGCUCCGUUUUUGGCAUUCUUUAUAUCCACGCGUAGGUGAGUUUAUGCUCUACAACUUUCAUUUAGACUCCGUCGGCUAGUUUUGACUUUAUUUUUAAUGCUAUGUUUUUAAUAGGCCGGGACUACUAAAGUCCGUUAAAAAUUCAUAGUUUCUUUAUCUGACGUCGGUUUUCGUUUGUCUUUUUAUCAUUUUACUCCUUGGUGAUAUACUAAAUUUUAGCCCUCUACUACUGUUAUGAAACUUAGAAAAUUCGUAACUUCUUCAUACAAGGUCCAAUUUGGGCGAUCUUAUUAUCUACGUUUACAAUUUAACGAACACUACAACUUUUGUUUAGAUACUUAAGUCUAGAAUGCAUUUUAUUGUAAUUUCACUUUUUACGUUAAAUAGUGUUUUACCGAGUGUGUCGUAAAUAUUUGAGUGAUUAUAGUUUCUUCAAUAUAACCCGGUUUCGAAUGUUCUUUAUGUUUUUGGAAACCUUGGCACGAUAUCUAACAUUUGAUGCAUCCCAAUUUAGAUAUUUGAACAAUUUAUUUUUUUUAGGAUAAUUUCGUUGAUUCCAAAUAGUUUUCGUUGUAUUUGACUUUUGAGUGUUACAUUGCUUUUGAGAAAUAUAAGGUCGUCACAUCAUCCCCCCGUUAGGGGAAUUUCGUCCCGAAAUUUAAUCUAAGAUUGCGUUUACGGGUUACGGAAGAGAUACGGGUACUUUUGUUUCAUUUGAUCCUCGCGUUCCCAGGUGUAUUCAGGUCCUCGCUUGGCGUUCCAGUGGACCUUUACAAUAGGUAUGCGGCUUUGUUUAGUCCUUUUUAUUUCCCUAUCCAUGAUCUCUACUGGUUCUUCUACGAAUUGGAUAUUCUCGUUUAUUGCAAUUUCGUCUAGAGGGAUGACAAGGGUCUCAUUGGACAAGCACUUCUUUAGGUUUGAUACGUGAAAGGUAGGGUGUACGUUGUGGAGUUCCUGAGGUAAUCGAAGUUUGUAAGCCACCGGCCCGAUCCUGGAAAGGAUCUCGAAUGGUCCGAUGUAUCUUGGGUUCAGUUUCCCAUGCUUUCCAAAAUGUAUUAAUCCUUUCCAGGGCGAGACUUUUAGUAGGACUCGGUCUCCAACCUAGAAUUCCAAGGGUUUCCGUCUUUUAUCCGCGUAACUCUUUUGUCUGUCCCUUGAUGCUUUCACUCGCUCCCGAAUCUAAACAAUCUUCUCCGUAGUUUCCCUUAUGAUUUCUGGCCCAGUGAGCGUGUUGUCUGUUGCUUGUCCUUUUGCUAGUUGUGUGUCCCCCACUUCAGCCCAGCAUAGAGGUGAUCUGCAUUUACGGCUGUAGAGGGCUUCGAUCGGGGCAACCUUGAUACUAGUGUGGUAGCUAUUGUUGUACAAGAACUCGACCAAGGGUAUAUGGGUGUCCCAUGCUUUGCCAAAAUCGAUUACGCAAGAUCUCAACAUAUCCUCUAGGGUUUGUAUGAUUCUCUCACUCUGGCCGUCAGUUUGUGGGUGAUAAGCAGUACUCAUGUCUAGUCUUGUUCCUAGAGAUUUUUGUAGCGACUGCCAGAACCUUGAGGUGAAUCUACUAUCUCGGUCCGAGAUAAUGGAUAUGGGCACACCAUGCAGUCGUAUAAUCUCUCUAAGGUAUGUUCUAGUUAGUUUCUCCAAUUUAUCCGUUUCUUUGAUCGAUAGGAAGUGCGCUGAUUUAGUUAACCUGUCGAAGAUCACCCAGAUGGUGUCGAGUCCGCUUGCCGUCUUGGGUAAUUUGGUUAUGAAAUCCAUGGUUAUCCGUUCCCACUUCCAUUCGGGUAUUUCUGGUUGUUGCAACAAUCCUGAGGGCUUUUGGUAUUCUACCUUGACUUUGGCAAACGUCAAACAUUUGCUCACGUAAGUAGAAAUUUCGGCUUUCAUGUUCGGCCACCAGUACAACUUCUUGAGGUCCAAAUACAUCUUAUCGGAGUCGGGAUGUAUGGAGUAUCGUGUCUUAUGGGCUUCGUUCAUGACGACUUCUCUGAAUCCACCAAACUUCGGUGUCCAGAUCCGAUCCAUGAAAUAAAGAACUCCAUCGCUCUUGGCUUCGAGAUUCUUAUCCAUUCCCCUUAGGGCUUCUUUUGUCACAUUUUCAGAUUUCAAGGCUUCUAUUUGGGCUUCCUUGAUUUGCGUGGAUAGGUGUGAAUGGAUUGUCAUAGUUAGAGACUUCACUCGGCGGCCCGAGUAUUCCUUCCGACUGAGUGCAUCAGCCACUACAUUAGCCUUCCCGGGAUGAUGUCGGAUUUCAGUUUCGUAAUCACUUAGUAAUUCUACCCAUCGUCUCUGUCUCAUGUUAAGUUCUUUCUGGUUGAGUAUAUGUUGGAGGCUUUUAUGAUCGGUGAAGAUUGUACAUUUCGUGCCGUAGAGAUAGUGCCUCCGUAUCUUUAGAGCGAAGACGACUACUCCUUGCUCAAGAUCGUGCGUCGUGUAGUUUACUUCGUGCGUCUUUAGUUGCCUUGAGGCGUAGGCGAUGACCUUCCUUCGUUGCAUCAGGACACACCCAAGUCCUUGGUUUGAUGCAUCGCAAUAGACCACGAGUCCUCUGUUCCUUCUGGCAAGGUUAGGAUGGGCGCACUACAUAAGGCUUGCUUUAGUGUCUGAAACGCAAUGUCUUGAUUUUCUCCCCAGUUGAAGGUCACACUCUUCUAAGUUAGGGUGGUGAGUCGCUUGGCAAUCUUUGAAAAGUUUCGUAUGAACCUUCGGUAAUACCCAGCGAGUCCCAAAAAUUGCCGGAUUUCUGUAGGGGUUCUUAGAGUUGUCCAACUCUCUAUUUCCUUGAUCUUGGAAGGAUCCAUGUGUAUUCCUUCUUUGCUUACAACGUGCCCUAGGAAAUCUACUUCCCGAAUCCAAAACUCGCAUUUUGAAAAUUUUGCGUAUAGCUUCUCUGUCCUCAAUGUUUCCAAAACAUGGCUGAGGAGUUGGCUGUGUUCUUCCUGGCUUCUUGAAUAGAUGAGUAUAUCAUUUAUGAACACGAUCACGAAUUUAUCCAGGAUGGGAUGACUUACUCGGUUCAUCAAGUCCAUGAACACCAUUGGUGCAUUUGUCAAUCCAAAGGGCAUCACUACAAACUUGUAGUGACCAUAGCGUGUUCGGAAUGCCGUUUUGGGGAUGUCUCCUUCCAACACUCGCAGUUGGUGAUAACCAGAUCUUAGAUCGAUCUUUGAAAAGUAGCUUGCUCCCUGUAGUUGGUCGAACAGAUCGUCUAUGCGCGAUAGGGGAUAUCGGUUCUUGAUCGUGAGUUUGUUCAGCUCCCGGUAAUCGAUGCACAUGCGAAAAGAUCCGUCCUUCUUCUUCACGAAUAGGACCGGUGCUCCCCAUGGUGAGAAGCUCAGUCUGAUGAAGCCCUUGCUCAGCAGCUCGUUUAAUUGAUUGGACAGUUCCUACAUCUCGGCGAGGGCUAGACGGUAAGGCGACUUUGCUACUGGAGUAGCUCCGGGGAUUAAGUCGAUUCUAAACUCGACUUGGCGUUCUGGUGGGAUCCCUGGAAGAUCUUCUGGGAAAAUGUCUGGGAAGUUGCAGACUUCCGGAAUGUCUUUAAUGUCCUUCGGUUCUUGUUUCUGGUCUACUCGUGGGCUAGAAAGGCAUGAUACUCCUUGCGAAGAUAUUUUUGUGCUUUAACACAGGAGAUGAUUUGUAAAUUCGUAUUAGGUUUGUCACCAUAAAUGACAAGAGUUUCGCCGCUUGGCAGAUUGAGGCGAACGGCCCUUUCGUGACAAAGUAUAUCGGCAUGGUGAAGACUUAACCUGUCCAUACCGAUGAUGACAUCAAAACUUCUUAUCAAAAUGGGCAUAAGGUCGAUUUGAAAUAAGUGCUCGUUUAAAUUUAAUGUGCACCCUACGUACAUAUCACUUGUGUUUUCUGUUUUACCGUUUGCCAUUUCUACAGUGAAUAUUUUAUUGAGUGGUUGGGUUUUUUGAUUAAGUAGGUGUUUGAAUUUAUGACUCACAAAACUUCUCUCCACACCGCAGUCAAAGAGUAUGCAUGCAUAAAUGUUGUUGAGGAGAAACGUACCCGUAACCACCGUGGGGUUAGCUAUUGCUUCCUUUUGACCUAUCUCCAGCACUCUCCCAACACCGCCAACAUUCUUUUCCUUGGGGCAAUCCCUCUUCAAGUGUCUAGUUUCUCCACACCCAUAACAUGCCUAGCUUAUCCCAGUACCAGGAACUUGAGUGAUUGGUCGCGCCGGUGUCUUACAGAAAUGGGCAGUCUGCCCUUUCCUGUCGCAGUUUUUACAGUGCAUUUCGCGGCAAUUACCGUGGUGAUGGUAGUUGCAUUUGCUGCACUUUGGCAGGUUCCCAGCAUAUUGUUUUGUUGGCGCAGGGAUAGCAGGAGUUGUAGUGGGAGCAGUAGCGGGAGCAGUAGCGGCAUGAACCAUCACCAUUUGUUUCUUUGAAGGUUCUUGCGAAGUUUGCCCCUUUCUCUUGUUCCAGAAUUUCUUCUUGCUGUUGUUGUUGGCAUUGCUCUCGUUGUUGUUGUUCACUUUGGUUGGUUCGGCGAUGAUAUCCGUGACGCCUUGAAAGACACCAUGAUCAACGAGAGAUUGCGCCAGUUCCUUGGCGCUGUCGAAGGUCAUGGGUUUGGAAGCUAACACACUCCCUCGAAGUUGGGGUGAUAGUCCCCAGAUGUACCUCUCCACCUUUUGGCUUUCCAGGAUCAACAUCCCUGGGCAAAGUAUUAUCAAGUCACUGAAUCUGUUGGUAUAGCCUGCGAUGUUCGAGCCUACCAUCGUAAGGCCCCACAGUUCCUGUUCGAGCUUCUAAAUCUCGCCUCUUGGGCAGUACUCUCGUAGGAGCAUUUGUUUCAGGUUUUCCCAACCCAUGGAGUUCGCCACCACUAGGGUGAGUGCCUUGACGUGGCCGUUCCACCAUGUCAGGGCUCGUUCAGAGAAAGUAAAGGCAGCAAAUUUUACUUUGCUUUCUUCAGGGCAUGUGCAAAUUUCGAAUACAGCUUCCGUUUUCUCUAUCCAUUGGGAUAUAGCCAUCACUCCCCCAGUCCCAUAAAAGAGAAUAGGUUUUCCGUUGGUGAAGUCUUUGUAAGUACAUACCCCAGAACGACCUUGGCUUUGGCCAUUUGUAAAGCUGUUUAUUCCUCCUCCUGACCCGUUGUUGCUCAUUUGAGCCAUUGCUGCGGUUGCAACGGCUGUUACAGCAGUUUGGAACAUAGCUGCAUGCAUAGUUGGAGGGGGCGGUGAAGGUGGUGUUGGAGCUGAGUUUCUGUGUGUUGAUCUACGAGGAGGCAUGUUCUAGUAGAGAAAUAAUAAUGAACACUAUAAGUUUCUAAUGAUUUGACAAUCGGGUACUAGAGGGUUAGUUGUAUCUUGUAAUUUGUUUUAACUUUACUUCAAAGUAGAUAUAACAAUUUAGAUAAUCCCAUAAGUUUCGAGAGGUAUGUAAGGAAGUACUUUAUAUUUAUAUAUGUGUCAGACAUACGGUGCGUUACAUUAUGCUUCAUGUUUAGGAAAAAUUUGACCUNCCUAUCUAGAGGUCUCCGAUUACAAGUACAAAGGAAAUAAGAAAAACUUUAUCUGAGGUCCUAUUCUAUAUCAAAAUUGUUAGAGUUGAGCAAGUUCUACUUGCGGCGUGUUGUGUGUUUGGAGCUAGACUCGGCAUCCAACUGCUUGACUCCCAUUAGGCGCCUUUCGAGAACUACUUGUUGUUCCUUCAUCUCUCUUAUUUCUGCCAGUGCUGUCACCAUUUGGUUCUGAAGCAUCCCUGUGUGGAGUUGGGUACUUUCGUGUAGUCCUUCCAGACGGCGGAUGUCUGCGGCGUUACCCUAUGUAGCAGCAUUGAUCUCACGAACUCUGGCCGCUUGCAUGUCUGCAUGGUAGUUCUGGGUGGCUAUAGUGCCCACAAUAACGGGAAGCGCUCGAUCAGCUGAGCCUCCCCCACUGACAUUGUAAAAAUCUUGACACAUGCCGAAAGGAGGGCGUACACCUAGUUGGCGGCUCCAGUAGUAGAGAUGGCUUCCCCAAAUGGGAAUGGAAGUUUGGCAAGCCCUUCGAACAUCGGGAGGAUGAGGAGCGGGAGGGUCGAUUACUUCCAGCUCGAAGUCUGUCCCAUCAGUAGCUUCUUCUUCCUCCUCGACCUCCUCGUCGACUUUGAAUUCCUCUCUGACUUCGACUUCGAAUUCUUCUUCGACUUCCUCUUCGAUUUCCUCCGGGUCUUCUUCUAUCCAUCCGCCAUUGCCUUGGUUUGGGUAGUAGGGAUCUCCCGGUAAAUGGAAUCUGGCCAUUUGUCUGUACUAGGAUAAAGGUAUGAGAUUUUCAUAAGAAAAGAAAUUUUCUAUUUCACGGCAUCCUAAGCUUAACUACAUCUUAUGGUGUGUAGGUUUUUCAUUGUCCUAUUAUUUUAUAACAAUUCUCCUAUAGUAUUUCAAAUUUGCGAGUUUAAAAGAAAAUUUUUAUCUGGUAAGUUUUUGACUUGUUGUCCACUACGACCAUUCGUCGACGUACGUUGGUCCAAUCCAGGAUAAAUAUAGUUGAUCAGGCUAUAUUUAUUCUCGAUUUGAUUACAUACCUCGAGGCCCAAUUGUACUGUCGCAACUUGUCUUAAUACUUUUUAGAAAACUUUGUCAUGAUACGAGACUGAUACAUGCGAGUAAAAAUGUAUGUUUUUAAAAGAAAAUAUAUUGUUUAUGAAAACGUUUUGUCAGAGGGUUUUUGGUCCCCUUUGCAUUUAUAGUUUGUAUAUCCUAUGUGGUUCGAUAUACUUAGUUCACUAUAAACAAUGCUCUGAUACCAAUCUGUCACACCCCCAAACCAGAAUGGCGGAAACAUUCGGGGGUGGAUGACUUCACGUAGUAUCAUAACAAUUGAAUAUUGUAAAGAAAGUAACACAUCCAUCAUAUAUAUAAUAAAAAAACGUACAUUGUUGCGUUAUAUAUAUUUCCAAAAAAUAUUACAAUAUGAUGAUAUAAAAUGUUUAAUAAUAAACGCCAUUAGCGUCCCUUCUUCAAAAGCUGGCAGUUACCUGUAUUACUGAUUCCCUGAGAAAUACAAGUGGUUUCGAAAAAGUGUCAACAAUAAAGUUGGUGAGUUCAUAAGUGUUUUGUAUUGAAAAGUGUAUCUUUUUGGUAGAAAAUCGAUGAACGUGGUUUUCAGAAAAUCCAAUAUUUACUAUAUAUAGUUUGAAAAGUUCCCAAAGUUGGACUGCGUUAGUAUUUUUCAUACUUGAAUGAUAAAGAUAAACUUUGUGCUCAAAAUAAUGUAAAUACUGAAUGCAUAUAUGAGUCUCGUAAAUCCAUCUUGUUUUUAUACUUUCAUGUGAGUUUUAUAACCAUACUAUUGACUCAGACUGCCUGUAACAACAUUCUUCAGGUGUUGUAGUGUUAUGACAUUUGUCACCCCAGACCUGCCGGUUUAACUAUAGCUAACAGUUUAGAUGCGGGGUUGUCAAUCUCGUAUAGAUCUAUACACAAGUAUCACGCUCUCCCUCCAAGAGAUUAUGGCUUAUAAUACAGAACUUGAAAUGCAUACAUAAGAGUACGUUGAAGUUUGAAUAUCUCACAUUACUUAGUAUAAAUAGAUUUACUAUAAGAAAGUCUUUAUUUCACUUUAGAUAAAAGUAUUUAGUUUUUCAAAAUGUAUACGUAAGAAUGUACAAAUAACUCGCAAAUUAUACCCAUUAUAGUUUUUCAGAAAGUAUGUUCCAUUUGGUGAAAAUAACUUGGUGAUAUACUAAAUUUUAUACGUAAAGAUAGUUGCUGCAUUUAAGUUUAUAUAAAACGAUACGUUGUCUUGUAUUGUACUUGUAUUCCCCCCCCCCCUAAAACAUGAAAGAAUUGAAAAGUAGGGGUAUGAACUCACCUGUUUGGUUUGGAGAGAGAGAGAGGGUCUAGAGUCGAGCAGAACUUCAACCUUGGAAAGCUGCGUCUCCGAGCUUCUCGGGGAUCUCGGUGGCGUAGAACCUUCGUCGGGGCUCGGGUGCAGAAAUCGAGGGUGUCGGGACGGAUUCUGGUGCUUGCAAGUGUGUGAGAGUGAGUGUGAGUUUGAGAAUGUGUGCCAAAAAUCCGGAGCUUAUGCCUUCUAUUUAUAGGGCUGGAAAGGCGAGUACGCUGGGCGUAACUUUGCGUCAUGGUUUACGACUCGAGUCUAGCUAGGCGUAGAGCUGCAGCCGAUGGGACUCGACCCUGCACCUGAGUACAUUAGGCGUACUCCUACAUUACGUGGGGCGUAAUCCUGGCUUCCAUCUUCUGAAUUCCGUAACUUUCGCGUACGGGCUCCGUUUUUCGCGUUCCUUAUAUCCACGCGUAGUUGAGAUUAUGCUCUACAACUUUCAUUUAGACUCCGUCGGCUAGUUUUGACUUUAUUUUUAAUGCUAUGUUUUUAAUAGGUCGGGACUGCUAAAGUCUGUUAAAAAUUCAUAGUUUCUUUAUCCGACGUUGGUUUUCGCUUGUCUUUUUAUCAUUUUACUCCUAUUGUGGAGACCUACAACUUUCGUUUAUGUUGCGUUAGCUAAAUAUCGCUUGAUUUUCAAUUCGAGUUUUUAGCCCUCUACUACUGUUACGAAACUUAGAAAAUUCGUAACUUCUUCAUACGAGGUCCAAUUUGGGCGAUCUUAUUAUGUACGUUUACAAUUUAACGAACUCUACAACUUUUGUUUAGAUACUUAAGGCUAGAAUGCAUUUUAUUGUAAUUUCACUUUUUAUGUUAAAUAGUGUUUUACCGGGUGUGUCGUAAAUAUUUGAGUGAUUAUAGUUUCUUCAAUAUAACCCGGUUUCGAAUGUUCUUUAUGUUUUUGGAAACCUUGACACGAUAUCUAACAUUUGAUGCAUCCCAAUUUAGAUAUUUGAACACUUUAUUUUUUUUAGGUUAAUUUCGUUGAUUCCAAAUAGUUUUCGUUGUAUUUGACUUUUGAGUGUUACAUUGCUUUUGAAAAAUAUAGGGUUGUCACAUUAAAAUGGAUCCCACACAUAGUAAUUUAAUCUAGAAAAAAGACCUUGUUCUGAGGUCAUAUGAGGAAAUUUUAUAUGUUCGAAGUUGAGUAAAAAAUUUAUAAAAUGUUGUAAUAAAACCCAAAAAACUCAACAGCCCCUGUUUAACACUUUAUAAGUCUGUGAAUUUUUAACCGAUUAAGAUGUUUUUUUAGCUUAAUAUGAAGCCUACACAAAAUACUACAAUCUUGAAAAAAAUGACAUUGUUUCGAGGUCAUAUGAAGAACUUAUAUACGUUUAAAGUUGAGUAAAAAAUUAUAAAAUGUUGAAACGAAAAUAGAAAAAACUCAACAGCCCAUGUUUAGAGCUUUAUAAGUUUGUGAAUUCUUAACUAAUUAAGAUGUUUUUUGAGCUUAAAAUGAAGCCCACACAGAGUACUACAGUCUAGAAAAAAAAACCUUGUUCUAGGUCAUAUGAGGAAGCUAUGUACGUUUAAAGUUAAUAAAAAAAUUAUAAAUUGCUGAAACGAAAACCACAAAACUCAACAGCCCAUGUUUAGAGCUUUAUAAGUCUAUGAAUUUUUAACUGAUUAGGAUGCUUUUUGAGCUUAAAAUGGAGCCCACAUAUAGUACUACUGUCUAGAAAAAAAAUGACAUUGUUCCGAGGUCAUAUGAGAAACUUAUGUAUGUUCAAAGUUGAAUAACAGUUUUAUUUAAUGUUGAAAAAAAAACUCAACAACCCAUGUUUAAAGCUUUAUAAAUAUGUGAAUUCUUAACUGUUUAAGAUGUUUUCUGAGCUUAAAAUGAAGCCCACAUAGAGUACUACUAUCUAGAAAAAAUUAACCUUGUUCUGAGGUCAUAUGAAGAAGUUAUGUAUGUUCAAAGUUGAGUAAAAAAAUUAUAAAAUGAUGAAACAUAAACCAAAAAACCUAACAUGUGUUUAGAACUAUAUAAGUUUAUGAAUUCUUAACAUAUUAAGAUGCUUUUUAACUUAAAAUGAAACCCAUACAGAGUACUAUAAUCUAGAAAAAAAAUGAGCUUGUUCCAAACUCAUAUGAGGAUGUCAUGUAUGUUCAAUGUUGAGUAAAAAAGUUAUAAAAUGCUGAAACAAAAACCAAAAACCAAAAACCAAAAAUCACAUGUUUAGAGCUAUAUAAGUUUGUAAAUUCUUAACAUAUUAAGAUGUUUGAGCUUAAAAUGAAACUCACACAGAGUACUACAAUUGAUAAAAAAAUGACAUUGUUCUGAGGUUAUAUGAAGAAGUUAUGUAUGUUCAAAUUUAAAUAAAAUGUUUAUAAAUGCUAAAAAAAAUAUAAUGCAUAAGAUUUUUUUGAAAGGUUUACUUGAAAUUUGAAGUCUCAAACCUAUCUUCUUAAAAUUCAUAUACUAUUUCAAUCUCAUUUCAUCCCAUCUCCUUGAGGCAAUUUAUCAAACAGGUGGCGUGCGUCUUUAAUGCAACCAUUUUCUACAUAUUUUGAUCAAGGAACUACAUACGUAAACAUCUUUCUCAAAUGACCACAUGCCUUUAUCACGUAUAGAAAUCAAGAGUUACUAAAAAUUAUUUGAAAGAAUGGAGACACCAAACUGGAUUUGAUUAAAAAAGGAACAAGUUUGUCAAACUAAUUAUAUUAAUGGUUUGGAGUUAAAUUUACCAGAGCAGAAAGUUGGUGUCAAAUGGGAUGUUGAAGGUUACCAACUCUUUAUCUCACAAGUGAACAAGUCGCCUAGACCUUCCGGUGCCAAAAUUGUCUUUGCAUCAUUGAAUUUCCAACAAAGUAUAUACUUUUCAAGUAAUCUUGAACCUAAAAGACCCACAUGGUUGAUGUCGUUAACGAGUAUUUGAGCAUGAAGUUGUUGGCCUUGUUGAAUGACUUGAGUAUCAGGAUUGGGGGUUAACAAGAUUGCAAGACUGAUGCAAGUUUGUAUAUUAAAGGGGUUUUUGACUUAUCUUUUUUAGAGACAAAAGUCAUUUUUGGAAAAGUUACAAAAAAGUAUGUUUUCCUAACUUUUACAAAAAGUCAGUUUUUCUUAUAUCAAAAAUCCAAAAGUAGCUUUUAAAAUCCUUUUACCAAACAUCUUUUACAUUUUAUAUUUUCCAAAAAUGACUUUUGCCUCUCAAAAAGAUAAGCCAAACACCCCUAAAUAUUCCUUUUGGGAAAUGUUCUAUUUGUUUAAAAAAAACAACUUAUGCAUUUUAUUGAUGCAUAGUUCGUUGGUUCGUUACCUCUUAAAGAGUUCACUAUUNNNNNNNNNNNNNNNNNNNNNNNNNNNNNNNNNNNNNNNNNNNNNNNNNNNNUUUAUUUUCUCGUGUUUUUGCUUAUAAUUGAUUGUAUCUCUAUAUGAUGUUCUUUAUAUAAAUUACAACCAUAAAUAUAAAUAUAUACAAAGUAUAAUCUCCCAACAUACAUAAAUGUCUGUCAAAAUGAUGUCUUUCUCAAAAGGAACUAACCCGUACAUCAUAUCUUUUUGUCGGGAUAAUGACUUAAAAGGUUAACAUAGUUUAGAUUAUAUACAUAUUUAGUCAUUUAUGUUUUUUUUGGACAUAUAUGAUCACUUAUGUUUUUUUAUUUUUUACACAUAUGACCAUUACCAUUACAUUUAAUGGUCAUAUGUGUAUAAAGUAAAAAAAAAAAACAUAAGUGACAAAAUCUGUACAAAAAACAUAAAUGACUAAAUAUGUUCCAAAAUAAACAUAAGUGGCUAAAUUUGUAUACAAUCUAAACUAUGUUACCAUUUUAAAAGCAUUAUCCAUUUUUAGUCAUAUACAUCAUUUUAUGUUUUUGAGUGGUCACCACCUGAUCACUCCAUAUUAUCACCACAUCACUACUAAACACCUAGAAAAUGACCACCAUUCCAUAUCACCUUACUAUACUCGUACCUUAUGUAGUAUAGGUUAUAGAAAUGAGAGAGAGAGAGAGAGAGAGAGAGAGAGAGAGAGAGAGAGAGGGGGAGGAAAAGUAGAUAGAGAUAAACAAACAGAACCACAAUCAACCAUGCCUACCAUGUCACCCUUGGGGUGGUGUUCACGCUGAGAACACACAUAAUGUUGUUGAUAACGACUCCACUCUAGUUAGCCUUAUGUCCACAACCGACACCCAACAUAUUUCCUUAAUUACUGGAGUAGUCUUCGCUAAUGGACAAAAUAUAUGUCACAUAGUAUGUAACCAUAAAAAUUAGAGAUGUAAUAAGUUUAUAAAAUUACAAAACAUUAACCAAAUAACUAAUACUUCGUUGUAAAUGUAUAGGGUUGUGACUCUAGCAGGCGAUAAACCUUUUUCUAUGUGAUGUUUCCUAGACUUGAAGCUCUUGAUACAAUUAUAAGUUGUAAGGUUUCAUAUUAUUUUAUUUUAGGUCAAUGGGUUUGGGCAUUGUGUUGUUCCUUAAGUACAAUUUAUGAUGCUACGAAAAUGUUAAUUUACCUAAUUUACUUAUUGGCUUUGUCGCUUAUAUGGUCGAUGAUAAGUGCGCAUUGGAGUUGAUGUAUUCAGAAGAUUUUUUGGUAGCUUCCUUACAUAAUCUACUUGAAAUGAUAAAUCACAUGGUCCCCAUCAUUUGAAAAACCCACGUCGAACUUGUCUCAUGAUCUAUAUGUGAAGUAAAAAUAGCAUAUCGGUGUCAAUAUUUUUGGGUGUGUCACUUGUCACGGUUUGAAACAUGAACAUCCUUUAUGAAAUUUUGCACAUGUUUAUUUUAUUUUUAUUUUUUUGAACGAAUGAAUAUUAUAAAACGACAGUAGGAAAAAGCUAACAAGGACUCAAAUCUAUUACAGAAGAACAUGCAAGAAAGGGUUAUGUAAUUAAACAAUCCAUUUAACAUGCAAUUUAUGGUUUCUAUGAACGGUUUUAUUAAAAGUGACCAAAACAAGUUUUUAAAAAUUAUAAGUUUUACGAAAAUCUUUUGAGCCGAACACCACAUAAUUCAUAUAAUGCCAAAUAAUCCAAAUAGUGGUCAUUCACAUUGCCUCGAGGAUUGAACGCUUUAACCGAAACAUUGAUCAAACAUACAUAAAAACAUAUUUCACUAAUUCGACAAAAAAUAGAAAUAGUAAUGUCUAGCCAACGACCAUCUCGGUCCCAAACUUUCUUAGCCACAUCACAAGUCAAGAACAUAUGGCGGGUAUCUUCGGUGCCAACACCACAACAAGGUAAAAAGAUAAAUACAUACCAACUUCCUGAUUCGCUAAAUUAAUCUAGACGAUAUAUAAUCCCAAAGAAGGAUGGUAACUUUUUAUUAUAUAAGCACUCCAUAUAGUUACAUUAUCUUCAUUGUUCAACACCAACUCAUCAAUAUAUGCUCUAUCCAAACCAACUUGAAAAUCUUUUGAAAUAAUUCCAAAAACUAUUUAUCCACCAAACCGAAGGGAACAAAAGACGAGAUUAAAUGCAACAUCCAUGCGAAUUGAGUGGCAUCCCCAUUCAUGGGUAUAACAAUCACCCAAUCCACCCAUUUCCGAGCCAACGAUCAUUUAUAAAAUAGUAUAAUGUUGUUUCCAACAAAAAUAAUCUCAAGAAUUUGUCCAUUAAGUGUUGAUAAAUUAACUCCAUUUAGAUUGAUUUCUCAUUCAAUUCAAUAUAAUUCCAUAUCAAACUUGAAAAGAACACAUGGUAGUUACUUGGUGCGAAUUCAUUUUUUGAGGGAAUAGAAGAUGAUGAUGUUACUCUGAUAUCUUGACCAAUUCUUUAAGGAUACCCACUUCAUAUGAUGGAGAGACCAAUCAGUUAAAUCGAUUAAUAUUGUGCUGUUGAUGUCUUGAGAAGUAAGAUGUGUGAGACAUAGAGAGAGCGUUUAGUUUGUUUAUGAUUCUCAUGAUUUAUUGGUGUAUCAAAACUAACUGUCCAUCCCCUUAUGUAAUUGUUAUGUCAUCCACAUACAUUAGACCAUUACAUGUCAAUGCUACAUAAGUAUAGGGAACAAAUAUGUCAUAAUGGCAACAUUAUGGUAUAAACUAUAAGUAUACAUGACUACCAAAACAUUAUAUAAGUGGUCCAAGGAAAUUAAAGCACUAAUUAUAUUCUAACAUUAUCCCGCUUUUCCUUGAGAUUAUUUAUGUAAGUUUAAUUAGUAAUUUGGUCAAAUAAUUUCAUCUUACUCUUUAAUGAUAUCAAAACAAAGAAAUACACCUCACGAGUCAUUAUUUAUUUUUAACCCAAGACCCUCAUCAAGUAUAAUUUGAUAUUUUUAAAGGGUAUAAGGAUUAAAAUAAGUCAAUAUGCCAUUUAGAUUAGGGUUUUAUGUUUGUUAAUGAGAUAAGUUAGUGUGCACAAAUAAGAUUAGACAAACAAACAUAUGGAGGAAUAUUAGGUCGAAUACUUGAAAUUAUAUCAAUAGUAGUAAUAAGAAAGUAAGGCGCUAUGCUAUAAAUAACUUACAAUAAGUCUUGAGUUAAGCCCAUAUUAGGGACACGUCAUUAAAAACAUUAGGAUGAAAACCUGUGGUGAGAUAAUAAGCAAGCAAAUCAUGUGUGCUAAAAUGUUUGAUACAAGUUUUGUUAGCUUAUAACUUUUAUGUCAAAAUGGUCAAAAGUAAGCAUCUUGAUUCAUGCAAUAAGUCUAAGUCACUACUUGCUAAUUGGAUGUCAUUGACAUAUAAUACCAGUGUAUUAAACUUGAUCCCACUCAUUUUAAGGUAUAUUUAGUUUAGUUGAAUCUUGUUAGAGUCGUUCAACUUCUCAGCUUCAUCAAAUUCAAGGUACCAUUUACAACAAGCUUAUUUGAACCCAUAUGUAGACUUCUUGAGUCUUAUUACCAACUUGUUAGGGGUGGUUUAAUACUAGAUGGUGACUCAUUCAUCUCUCAAUUCAUUGCGUCAUUAUUAAGAGAAGUUUAGGUUUAAUAAGGACUUUUAAGCAAGUCAUUAUGUAUAAUAGGCAAAAGAAUUACUAAUUCCCCUUCUCGGCCUUCUUAAAAGAUCAUUACAGCUAAAAGAACCACCACCACUCCCACUUGUAUUAGUGAUUUCAAGAAAUUCACAUUUCUAGUCUCGACAAUUCAAGUAGAGUGAGAUGAGUAAUAAAAGCAACAACGCAUAGACAUUUCAAGAUAUCUUGUAAUGAAACAACUAAUUGUCCUCAACUCAGGUUUCUUAAUAUGAGGAUUAUAAACUUUUUCCUAAGUAGGACAACCCCAUAUAAUUUUACAUAUAGAUUUUAAAGUUAUCUUAUUCAACAUGUAGGUUGCAGCUUUAAAGACCUUGGUCUAUAAGAUUUGGAGAAAACUUGAUUUUACAUAUAGAUUUCGCUCGCUGCAAUGUAUUUUGAUUUGCACGUUGAAUCAGCUACGGUUUCUUGCUUGGAACUUUUCCAUGUCACUGCUCCUCCAUUAAGGGUAAAGACCCAGCCCGACUGUGAAAGGUAGUUGUCCCUGUCGGUCUGUAAACUGGCAUCACUAUACCCUUGCACCUUUAAGUCAUCAUUCCCUCCGAGGACUAGAAACCAUUUCUUGGUCCUCCGAAGGUACUUAAGGAUAUUCUUGAUUGCGGUCUAAUGUGCUCUUCUAGGGUUCCCUUGAUAUCUACUGACCAUGCUCAAAGUGAAGGCCACAUCAGGGAAGUACAAGUCAUAGCAUACAUGAUUGAGCCAACUGCAGAAGCAUAAGGUACUUAGCUCAUCUCUGGUAUCUCGGCUUCGGUACUUGGACUUUGAGUCUUACUCAACUUGGCAUUACUUUGUAUCGUUAAUUCUCCCUUCUUUGAGUUUUCCAUACUAAAACGUUUUAGCACCUUGUCCAAGUAAGUAUUCUAACUAAGUCCUAUUAGUCUCUUACUUCUCUCUCUCACUAUCCUUAUUCCCAAAAUAUAGGAAGCCUCUCCGAGGUCCUUCAUAGCGAAGCACUUCCCAAGCCAGGACUUAACUUCCUACAGAGUCGGGAUGUUGUUUCCUAUGAGUAGUAUGUCAUCGACAUACAAAACGAGGAAGCUAACUAUACUCCCACUGGCCUUGACAUACACACAUGAUUCAUAUUCGCUUCGUACAAAUCCAAAUUCUUUGACUUUCUCAUCGAAGCAAAGAUUCCAUCUGCGAGAUGCUUGCUUAAGUCUAUAAAUGGACUUUUCAAGCUUGCACACCCUAUUAGGAUGCUUCGUAUCGACAAAACCCUCUGGAUGAGCCAUGUAAACUUCCUCAGGCAACAUCCCAUUAAGGAAAGCAGUUUUGACAUCUAUUUGCCAUAUUUAAUAAUCAUGAAAUGCAGCAAUGGCUAGCAUCACCCUAAUAGACUUUAUUUUAGCAACUGGUGAGAAGGUCUCAUCAUAGUAAACUUCGAGAGUUUGACUAAAGCCCUUUGCAACCAAUCGCGCCUUAUACGUGUGCACAUUCCCAUCCAUGUCGGUCUUCUUCUUGAAGAUCCACUUGCACCCAACCGUCUUACGUCCGGGCACAUGGUCAACCAAAUUCCAAACUUGGUUGUCAUACAUGGACUGAAUCUCGUUGUCCGUCGCCUCUUUCCACUUCGCAGACUCCGGGCCUAACAUGGCUUCCUUAUAGCAGUUAGGUUCAUCUAGAUUUACUAGUGUACUAUCACUAAUAUACAUGUCCCCUUCGGUAGUAAUAUGAAAACCAUACAACUGGGGUUGAACUCUAACUCUUCCGAAACGUCUAAGAGGUAAGGAUUCGUCAAUCGGUUUAACCGGAGUUUCCGCCUAGGGUUGAGCGCCAGCGUUAGAGGUUCCUUCAUCACUCGACUCUUGAAUCUCUUCAAGAUCGAUUUGCCUCCCACUGUCCCCCUUGGCUUAUGAGUUCUCACUCUCGGAAAACCCCUCUCCUCAUAACAAAAACAACAUUGUCACUCGGUCUAUAGAAGAGAUAUCCAAAGAAUUUAUGUGGGUAGCCGAUGAAAAUACAUCACUCACUACAAGGUUCGAGCUUGUCAUGAGCCUCUCGUCUUACGAAAGCCUCGCAACCCCAAACCUUGAUAUGUGCAAACGAGGGAGCUUUCCCUAUACACAUCUCGUGAGGUGUUUUGGCAACCUUCUUUGUAGGGACUAAGUUAAGGAUAUGGGCGGCGGUCUCUAAGGAAUACCCCCAAAAUGAGAUAGGUAGUGAAGCACGACUCAUCAUGGAACGAACCAUGUCCAACAGGGUUCGAUUAUGCCUCUUAGCUACACCAUUAAAUUGUGGUGUCCUAGGUGGCGUCAAUUGCAAAACUAUUCUGCAUUCCUUAAGAUAGUCGUGGAAUUCAAGACUUAAGUACUCUCCUCCUUGAUCGGAUCGAAGCAUCUUGAUUUUCCUGCCCAAUUGAUUCUCCACUUCUUGUUUAAACUCUUUGAACUUUUCAAAGGUUUAUGACUUGUGCUUGAUUAAGUAAAUAUACUCAUAUCUACUAUAAUCAUCAGUGAAAGUCACAUAGAAGCGGUUCAUGUCCCUUGUGGUGGAUAUAAAGGGCCCACACACAUCGGUGUGUAUGAGAUCCAAUAAACCCUCACCCCUCUCACAAGUGUCGGUGAAGGGUGACUUGGUCAUCUUUCCAAGUAAACAAGACUCGCGCACGUCAUCGUCCCCAAGGUCGAAUGACUCCAACACUCCAUCUUUUUGGAGUUGGGCUAUACGUUUCUUGUUAACAUGUCCAAGACGACAAUGCCACAAGCAUGCUUUAUCCAUACUAUUGGAAGAAUCCACACACAGUACAUCAUUUCCUAGGUUAUCUACAACCAUAACAGUUUCAUAAAUUCCAUUACAAGGCAAUGCUUCAAAAUAUAAAACACCAUUUAGAUAAGCAUAAAUUGAACCUUUCUCAUUAUCAAACGAAUAUCUAAAUCCUUGUCUAAACAAACCAUGAAAUGAAAUGAUGUUUCUUGCCAUAUCUGGCGAAUAGCAACAAUUAUUUAAAUCUAAACCUAAUCCAUUACUAAGCGCUAGAGAAUACACUCCAAUCUUGGUGACAUGCGACGAUCUUCUGUUCCCCAUGAUUAUAUUUAUUCUUCCACGCUCCACAUCCCUAUAUCUUCUUAGUCCCUGCGAAGGAUGGCUUGAUCUUCCCAUCCUUGAUGGAUUGUAGAUAUUCCGGGCAACUUCUCUUCCAAUGCCCUAUUUUGUGGCAGUAGUGGCACUCUGCCUCCUUUGGGUUUGAGUUGGGCUUAGCAGAACCAACUUUGGUUCCACUAGAAGAGGUACCAUCUUGGGGCUUUCCCUUGUGGUGACUCUUUGAAGGAGACUUCCUCUUCUUGCCCUUCCCUUGCUUAAUGGCCAAAACAGGAGCAACGGGUGGAGUGGGAUUUAAUGCAACAGACUUGUCCUUGAGGUUGCUCUCAGCAGUCCUUAGGAACCCUUGGAUUUUGCUUAAGGUGACCUCUUCUUUGUUCAUGUGGUAGGUCAUCCUAAAUUGGUUGUAGCACAAGGGCAAGGAGUGAAGAAUGAUGUUGAUUGCCAAAUUUUCCCCAAAGUUAACAUUUAAAUUGUGAAGACGAUCAACAUACCUUUGCAUCUUUUACAAAUGCAAGGUUAGGGAUUCUCCACUUCCCAUCUUAGUGGUGAUCAUGUUGGUGAUGAUCUCUUAGCGCUCUUGCCUUACGCUUUGGUGGUACCUCUCCAACAAAUCUUGGUGCAUUUCGUACGGAUACAUGCCCUCAUAGGACUUUUAGAGUUCAAGGUUCAUUCUGGCUAGCAUAAUGCAAUGAACUUUCGAUGCAUCACGCUCAUGGGUCUCAAAGACGGCCAUUUCUUCGGGAGUAGCGAUUUACGGAAUGAUCUUUUCAAGCUUCUCGUUGAGGACAUAUUCUCUAUCCUACUAGCAAGCAAUCAUGUGAAUGUAUCUUAUCCAUUCGUUGAAAUUCGAUCCGUCAAAUGUCACAUUUUCACAUAGGCUCAUUAGCGAGAAUGAACCAGCAGCAGCGUUGUUUGCGUUUGUGUUACACAUAUGCAAAUAGAAAGGAAAGAAGUUUGAUUAUAAUUGAAUCCCUAAUUAAACACCCAAAAUGAGAAAUUAGGGCAAGGAUCCAACAACAUUAUUUACACAUUAGAAAAGGGAUGUCGUAAUCCAACAUGCAAAUAAUUUUGUAGGUAAGUGAACGACGAUUCACUAAUUCUUCACCAUGAAAAACAUAAAAGGUUUAGGUUUUAAAUGUAUUGAGAAUUCCUAGAUUCCUUUUGAGAUUCAUUGAACAUUUCAAUGGCAUGUUUAAAUCUCGAUAUGCCCCUCUCGUUUGUGACUGGGAUGCCGAGGAUCACAAAGCGGGUGUGAAUAACCAUGAAAAUGUACAUGGUGCCCUCAUUGUUACAGUCACCAAUUCGAUGUCCCGGUUAACCACACACACUCCAUCGAACUAUGACAAACAAUGAGUCACCCUUUGCCACCUUUGCUUAGAACCAAUUAGUGUGCCGGUUAACCACACAUGCUCCACUCACUUCUUAGCAAGGGUGCAAAGUGUAAUUUCAUGGGAUUGCAUCAAUUCACUUUUGCCUAAAGUAACUAGGAUUGGGAAUUUUGAAAAAAAACAUUUAGUUACUUUAUAUAGAUUCAUUAUACGUAUUAAUGAAGAGAGGAUUGCCCUAUCCUACCCGUUCGGCUAACGACCC
rnacentral:lncRNA from 1 species